UCCCUGGUGGUCCAAUGGUUGGAACUCUGUACUUUCACUGCUGAGGGCACAGGUUCCAUUCCUGGCUCAGGAA
rnacentral:tRNA from 1 species